rnacentral:rRNA from 1 species
ACUCGAGUGGCGAACGGGUGAGUAACACGUGGGUGAUCUGCCCUGCACUUCGGGAUAAGCUUGGGAAACUGGGUCUAAUACCGGAUAGGAGCCAUCUUUAGUGUGGUGGUUGGAAAGUUUUUCGGUGUAGGAUGAGCUCGCGGCCUAUCAGCUUGUUGGUGGGGUAAUGACCUACCAAGGCGGCGACGGGUAGCCGGCCUGAGAGGGUGUACGGCCACAUUGGGACUGAGAUACGGCCCAG